rnacentral:rRNA from 1 species
CCUACGGGUGGCUGCAGUGGGGAAUAUUGGACAAUGGGGGCAACCCUGAUCCAGCCAUGCCGCGUGUGUGAAGAAGGCCCUCAGGUUGUAAAGCACUUUCAGUGAGGAAGAACGCCUGGUGGUUAAUACCCAUCAGGAAAGACAUCACUCACAGAAGAAGCACCGGCUAACUCCGUGCCAGCAGCCGCGGUAAUACGGAGGGUGCGAGCGUUAAUCGGAAUUACUGGGCGUAAAGCGCGCGUAGGUGGCUUGAUAAGCCGGUUGUGAAAGCCCCGGGCUCAACCUGGGAACGGCAUCCGGAACUGUCAAGCUAGAGUGCAGGAGAGGAAGGUAGAAUUCCCGGUGUAGCGGUGAAAUGCGUAGAGAUCGGGAGGAAUACCAGUGGCGAAGGCGGCCUUCUGGACUGACACUGACACUGAGGUGCGAAAGCGUGGGUAGCAAACAGGAUUAGAUACCCCAGUAGUC